rnacentral:lncRNA from 1 species
UGAAAUGUUUCAUAAAGGUUGAACCCCAACCUUGAUAGUCCCCACCGCUCCAUCCCUAGAGCUUUGUGAGGGAAGUAAAUUGAGGAAUGUGCUCCAACAGAACAGGAAAUAAGAGCUGCCUAUACACUAGAGAUGUUUCAUAAUUUGUGCUCCUAUCAAAGUCUAUACUGACUAAAAUUGACUGAUCAAUGUUCACUCACCAAAAUUUGUUUCUACUCUUUGCUCGCAGAUAUUUACUUCAUCUCUUGUGCCAACAUUUAGUGGCACUACUGCUCCUCUCUCAGGUGCUUUUAUAAAUUGCUUUUUCUCCAUUAAACAAAGAACUUUUGCCAUUUGUUUUCCAUUUUUUCCUUCUGCUUUUCUAUAUCUUUGGGUUUGGUCUUUAGGGAAAUAAGUUAGUCAAGAAAAUUCUGAAAAUUAACUCAAUAGAUAUGGUAUUAAUGAAUUUAACAAAGGUUUAUAAUUAUUUGAAUUCUAUAUCACUUAGUUUUUGAAUGAGCAAAACUUUUAUCCACGUCCUAGGAUUUUCCUUCUUGGAUUUUCGUCAGACUUGAAAAGUUGUGAAAAAAUAUAAGACCAUUGUCGUUCACAAAGCAUGUUUCUGUGUAAAUAUGUAUCUUUGGACAGUUGGACUCAGAUAAUGCUUUCCCCAAUCUCCAAUUCACAGACUAAAGAUCAUUGCAUGAUUUGUUGUGCUUUUUCAGUAUCUACUAAGACUACAAAAUAUUUUAACAAUUUGAUCAUCUCACACUCCUAUACCCUGUCAGCAUAAAAAAGUAGGACAAGUGUGAAGUAUCAGUUACAAAUAUGUAAAAUCAACUGUAAUCUGUAUAGCUUUUCAUAUAUUUGCUUCUUCCAGAUGUGAGAUGGUGGAGAACUUAAUCUGAAAGUAAACUUCAGGGAUCUUGCCUUUUCGGCAACCGGAAAGGAUAAGCUGGAGGCUGAUGGUUAAAAAUGAUCUUUGUGAUUCUCGAAGAACGAAGGUCAAAGGGACUCAAAAGAUCCUUUUUCGACUCUCUCUUUAGACAUGUAUUCCCCAGGAGGUGUUCCUCUUCAAGAAGGAGAUUCUUGAACACAUAAUUCCUUAACCAUUGGUCCAUUUAACUCGGUCAAAAGAUGUGGGUGAAGCCAUCAGUGACUAAGAACGCGGCAGAAACACUGUGAAAAUAGCUGAAUCUGAGUCAGCUUAUUCCCUUUCUGCAUUUUUAGCCAUACAAAUUACAUGUGAAAGAGAUUCUUUUUUCCUUCUAUUUUUACCUUCAUUAAUUUAGAAUAUAGUCUCUUUCGUUGGUUCUUUAUUCCCAUUAUAUCAAGUUGAGUAUGUUUCUUGAAUUCUUCAACGUGUAAAGUGGUUUUAAUGGUUGGUAGGUAGUGCUAUAUUUUAUUUUAUUUUUGUAACCUUUCAGAUUUGGAGAGGACCUCACUUUUCCAUUAAUAUUCUA